GGACAUGGAAAACCUCACUUUGCUGACAUGAAUAUAAAGGUUGUUGGAAAGCUAAGUGCCUAUCGCCCACCUGCAGAGAGCAGGUCACUGUGAGCUCUGAUGAUCUCAGCAGGAAAUGGAGUGGGAGGAAAGAGGAAGGAGGAGUGUUUUUUAGUUCUUUUUCUUAUCUCUCUGUUCUCCCACUUUCCCUUAUCUCCAGGCCCUGUUUGUUUUUCCUAGUUGCAUGCAGUAACUCCCCCAGUCUGUCGCAUUUUCCCCCUGAGCCCUCCAGGUGUGAAUGGAAAAUGUAAGCACCUGCUGAACUGACUGGCAAGAAGGAAGCAAGGAGGGGAGCUUAUCUCUACUCAGCAAAAGCUUUUUUCAACAGUGCUCAUUUUACUUCUGUGAUGUGAUUGAUUGAGAACUUCAUCCGGCUCUUAGGGAUGCAUUUCCUUUGUCUUCAAAAGUCCAGAAGGAGAUCUCAGCUCCCCAGGGCCAUGAUCAGGGCAGGGACAAGUUUUCUUACAGUCUCCAGAAGACCUCAUCUGGAGUCUUCACUAUCUGACUGAUUUGCCACUGAGAACUCCUACAGGGGGAAAUACUUUUCCCAACAAAAGUGCAAGCAGUUGCAGAAAGCUGCAGAAGAGCUAAAACCUGCAGAAGAGAAUCAUUCAUCUGGCUUUUCAGGGUCACUGGAUAAGCUGACUGACGGUGUGCUUUUCUGAGUGUUUUGCUCCAAUUUCCCCUCUCCCUUCCCAGCCCAUGGGGUGUGUUCACGUCACUGCCUCUCUCCUGGACUGUAAUGACUGAUGAGGAAAAGCCAACAGCAUCUCCAUCAGAGCUCCCUUCCAUUUGCUCAUUAGCAAGGGUGAGGUGAAGAGCCACCCUGGAAAUGUUCUCCUCUGUUCUCAUCACCCAAUCAAUCUUUGAGAAUCAAGGCAUGGAUAUUUUGCUCUGUGAUCCCUCUGCUCCUUUAAUGGAGACAAAAAUGCAGAGGGCUUUCUAAUGGUGCGUUUUAGGGCUGCUCAAACUAAUGCCAAGAGGGAGAAGGGUCUUGAAGUCCAACUGGCCCCAUUUUCCCCUUGUUUCUGGAUAGCUUGAUUCUCUAUGGUCUUAGUCUGUUCAUGAUAUUGAAAUUGGAUGGGCUGUUCUCUGCAAAAGAUUCUCAUCUCAUCUGAUGAAAAAUCUCCUAAUGCAAAACAUUUGUUGGUUUUUAACUUUAUAUUAAUAGAGGAACAUCCAGGAGGAGUGGGCAGGGUGUGAAGAACCAGAACAAGGCAGGAGGAUGGAUGAAGCAAUGAGAUACCACAGCUCUCUACCAGGCACAUUUGUGAUAGGAGAGCUCAGAAAAAAAACAGUGAAAAAAAUAGUCACUUGUCUAUUCUUUCCCAUAUCUCAUAUUCUAGAGCCAUUUUCUCUUCUCCUUUUGAAAAGCCUGUUGAGACAGAGCCUUUGUAUUCUUCUCUGUUGUUUCUUGAGGACUGUCAUUGGAGAGCACCGGUUCCUUUGGGUCAUAAAUGUCUUCCUUUCUUUUGAAUGUUCCUGAAAUGAAAGAACCUAUUUAUUUUACUGUAGUAGAAUACACCAGUGGUGUAUUAACAAAAAAAAAAAAAAAAAAAAAAAGCCACCAAAAAUUAGAAAAUAGAAUAGGCAGUGAGGGGCAAAGUUUAUGACCUGGCUCUGAGACCUAAGCCAGUUGGUAUAUGGUUUCCAUCCACAUACUUUUGCAUUUCAAUAAGACCAUCAGGACCAAAAAAAACCUCUCCUUUUUCCAGCAGGAGCCAGGAGUGUCACAUCACUAUGUGACUUCAUACAGUAACUCCAACCCUACAAGCUCUCAGUCAAGCCCUUGGCGCUGCCAGCUCUGUGCUGGAGGCAGUGCAUUCAGUCAAGGGAGACGUUGUUAUCGUGGUCAAUCUUGAGGGUCAGAGACCAGGUUGCAGGUGUUCAGGUCUCUUUGAGACCUAAGAAGGAGCAUAUUCAGACACAGAACAGGAGGAAAAGUAGCCAGUUCCCAGCUUCUACGAUGCAAAGGAGUUUGGCACUAAGCAGCUUUUUGCUGCGUGGUGUCUGGCAGUGCUGGGUCUUAUUUUCAACAAGCCCCGUUAAAGGAUUACAAGAGCCUAGUUAAAAUAAUGCCCUUCAAGCUUAUUCAUUUUUUUGGAAAGAAAACAAGAAAAAACAGAAAGGGUUCUAUCAUCUGCAGUGUUAUUGCUUGUAGUGCUUUGAAAGAAGAAAAAAAGGGCAAAGUUGGCAAGCAAGAGAGAAAUGCAUAAACACGCACACACACACACUUGUCUGCAAAUAUAAAGUAACUUUUGUUUCAUUUAUGGUUUAUAGGUCUCCAAAAAAAAAGAAAAAAAAGAUCAGCAGCCCCCUGCCCCUCUCUGUGUUUAAUCCAAUUACUGCUGAUACUCUGCCAUUGCAUUAAAAGUUAUACCUCUAGAGAAAUAAUCAAUUAAAAAAGAAAAGAAGAGGAAGAAAUUCCAAAAGGGUGUUGCUAUAUUUACCCUUUUAGUGGAGUUUAUUAAACCCGCAUUAUAAAGCCAAGGAGUUUCACAUCAGCCGGAACAACAACAAAAAAGUUAAAUUGUAAAUAUUGUUUGCCACAAGCGGUCAUGUUUUCCAAAUAAAACAGCCUUGCGUGGAAGGCUGGAUGGCUCAAUGGAGAGCUAAUGGAGUAAGGAACCUUUCCUCUUAAGGCUGCCAAGAUGAACCUCAUCCAAACUGGGACAACAGCGAACAUGGGAGAUCCAAAUUCAGCUUUUUGCAGACCUCAGACCCUACUGUGAUGGGAUGUGCUCCCUUCCUUUUGCAGAUGGAGAAACUGGAGACCUCGAGUGAAUGGAAAUUGAGCAUGGUUCUGCUGGAAGCCACCUCAGAGGACUGUGGCCACCCCAAGAGCUUCAGUUUUGUUCCAUCACACUUCAUCUCUAGAGCAGAGUAGCAUUGUGCCAUGCUGCAUGUCUGAUGUACAUCAGCAGCCAUGAGCAGUGGGUCACCUAAUGGAAGGGCUGUUGUGGUGCUAAUGUGAUGGGUGCAGGAGAAAUGAUGGGUUUGGUGAAAUGCAGGUGAGUGAGGAACCUACUAGAUGUCUUACCACCAGUUCUAAGGGCUCUCUUCUCCAGGACCCGCAUUCAGGUAACUGGCAAAGAUUACACUGAUCAGCUGCUGCUGGCAGAUGAAGUCUCUGAACUAGAUGGAUACUGAAGCUGGACAGGCAGAAGCAGGGAGCACUGAGGGUGGCUCAGUCAGAAGUUUUGUGUCAGGUGUGCCACAAAGAUGUAUGGGAUGUAUGGCAAAACCAGUGACAGGCAUUACACUUACAAGACUAGUUACUGAAAUAACUCUCUCUCCUUGAAUCCGUGUCUGAAUGUAGGAACAGCCACACUGGAUCAACCCAAACAUCCACCUCACCUAGGGCAACGGCUGGUUCCUAUGGGGAGGAACGUAACAAAGUGACAGAUCUUGUUUAGUUUUAUGGCCCAAAGUUAAGAGAAGUGCUUGGCAGAAGUGGUUUGGUCUGAACCCGAUAGAGAAGGAGGUGCAUUGAGGGCAUGACAUGAAAAAAUCUGCAUUUGUUGUAUUAAACCCUUUCACCUCCAGAAGAGGGCAUCCCCUUCCCAUCUGCCUUUUGGAUUCAGGCCCUGAAGCAUUCAAAUUCCUGAAGAACACCCAGGAGUGGGUUGGGUAUGUGAUGUGUGACCAUGACUAGAACUGUGCCAGGAAUUGUUCUAACACUUUACCACUAUUUUGAUGGUAGUUGUAUGCCUGGGGAGAGUCCUUGGAUAAUCAACUGAGUAAAUUUGCUGCGACCAUCCAACCUUGCAGCUGUGAAAGGGAGAAGACCCUGUGAAAGGGAGCCCUCAAUUCUGCACCUCUUCAGCUCCAUCAGGUUUCACGUGGUUGGUAUGAGAAGCACAACUGCCUUUUCAUCAACAUUCCCCACUGCUAGCUCAGUGUGGUUGCUUACUGAACAAACAAAAGCCUACGUCCCAAACCUCUGUGAUACAAACUUAUAUCUAAGGUGCAGCCAGCCAGUGGAGAUCAUCACUUAUACCUCCUUUCCUUCUCCAUCCUUGUGGCUGCAAAACGGUUUUAUGGCCACGCAGAGCUUAGCUUUCAAAUUCUGUGGGUGUGUGUACACAGUAACCCCUUCAAUGUAGCAGAUUCACUCCUUUUCAUUCUCUUUGAAUAUCUACCAAAAUUUCUGAGGCCACCCCUUUUUGUAUCCUUGCCCCACCAGAAUAUGCUGGGUCUGAAGAACAUGCACUGAGGUGUGAAGACCUCUGCUUCUCUGGUCUUCCACCCAACACAGGGCAGCAGCUGGAACAUGUAGGCCAUAGAAAAAGAUGAAGGUUCAUUAUCAGUAAGAAUGGAGUUCACCAGGUGUAUGGGGGCCACAUCUGAAACAGCAGUUUGGUCCUUUUGUUGUGCAGAAUGGAAGAAAGUGCUGUUACAUUUACAAUUGACAGCAUGUUGUUUACCAAAAGACCUCUUGGUUGCUUGCAGUUAAAGGAUUAAGGAUCUGCAGGCCAAACAAACUGUUGUAUAUGGGAAGGAUGAUAUUUCUGAAAAAAGACUUUGGCUAAGUCUUUGGCUUAGUGUCAAUUCCUGCUCUGCAAAUUCAACAGUUAAUCCAUCCACAAGUGGGGCUGAAAAAUGAGCAAGCUCCUGAGAUCUUGAGCUCCAGAGACAUCAGGGUGGCUUUGUGCAGUGAUUGGGAUUUAACAGCUUCAUUGUUGGGUGGAAAUGUGAGUGUCACCAGGAGCUGGGCCCAAACCAAGACCCUCUGCAGCCAAUUGAAAGGGUUUCAUUAUUUUCAUCAGCAUCCUUAGAAUAAUGAGAAAAUAUAUAGGAAGGAUGCUCUUGCAAUCAGGACUCAGUCUGUAAGAUUUCCUAAAUUUGAACCCUGGCAAAAAUAAAAAUAAUAGAGGUAAAUAAACUUUUAAAAAUGCAGAAAUGGGACAAAAGUAGAUUUAUUUAUUUAUCUAUAUGGCAGAGGAAGAAAAAAAAAAUUAAAGAUGAUAGAAAGUGGAAAAUGCUUAUAAAAGCCUCAGUUUCAGUGGAAAUGUGGGUGGCAUGGCGUGGAUGUCUCUGCAGUCCUUUUCAGACAGCAGAAUUUAUGCUCAAGGUUUUCCCUUGAUCCUUGUUCCAACGAAGCACUUCGAAGCAUGUGCGUAACGUUGGGAGAGCAUCAGCAUUCCCAUGGAAAUCAGUGGUACCAUAUGUUCCAAGAUAAGCACGUGUUUAAAUACUUUAAACACUCAGGCUUCAAAGCGGAUCAGAGACAACAAAGCGAGCAAGCAAUAAACAGAUAUUUCUUACUCCUGACAAGAAGUUUGGAAAUAUUUCAUGCUUCUUUUUGUGCUU